rnacentral:ncRNA from 2 species
AUAUUUGCACCCGCAAAAGGUAUCCGUAUGUUUUUUCGAAGCGUGCGGAGUAAUAGGGAAUCCGGUGCGAAUCCGGAACAGUGCUCGCUGCUGUAAGUCCUGUUUCCUUUCGGGGAAUAGUUCGAUCGCUCUCUUUUGCCACUGGCCAUGAAGCCGGGAAGGCGCGACGGACGGGAUGAGUCAGAAGACCUGCCUUUGCACGAAGAUUUUA